GACGUAGGGCGCGAGCGUUGUCCGGAUUUAUUGGGCGUAAAGAGCUCGUAGGCGGCUUGUCGCGUCGACUGUGAAAUCCCGAGGCUCAGCUUCGGGCUUGCAGUCGAUACGGGCAGGCUAGAGUUCGGUAGGGGAGACUGGAAUUCCUGGUGUAGCGGUGAAAUGCGCAGAUAUCAGGAGGAACACCGAUGGCGAAGGCAGGUCUCUGGGCCGAUACUGACGCUGAGGAGCGAAAGCGUGGGGAGCGAACAGG
rnacentral:rRNA from 1 species